UACGGGAGGCAGCAGUGGGGAAUAUUGCACAAUGGGCGCAAGCCUGAUGCAGCCAUGCCGCGUGUAUGAAGAAGGCCUUCGGGUUGUAAAGUACUUUCAGUCGUGAGGAAGGUGUUAAGGUUAAUAACCUUAGCAAUUGACGUUAGCGACAGAAGAAGCACCGGCUAACUCCGUGCCAGCAGCCGCGGUAAUACGGAGGGUGCGAGCGUUAAUCGGAAUUACUGGGCGUAAAGGGCACGCAGGUGGUUAAUUAAGUUGGAUGUGAAAUCCCCGGGCUUAACCUGGGAAUGGCAUUCAAGACUGGUUAGCUAGAGUCUUGUAGAGGGGGUAGAAUUCCAUGUGUAGCGGUGAAAUGCGUAGAGAUGUGGAGGAAUACCGGUGGCGAAGGCGGCCCCUGGGACAAAGACUGACGCUCAUGUGCGAAAGCGUGGGGAGCAAACAGGAUUAGAUACC
rnacentral:rRNA from 1 species